rnacentral:rRNA from 1 species
AGUGAACGCUGGCGGCGUGCCUAAUACAUGCAAGUCGAACGGAGAUUAAGUAGCUUGCUAUUUAAUCUUAGUGGCGCACGGGCGAGUAAUAUAUAGCUAACUUGCCCAUUACUAAGGGACAACAGUUGGAAACGACUGCUAAUACCUUAUACUCCGUAUCUAUAUAAGUAGAUACGGGAAAGUUUUUCGGUAAUGGAUAGGGCUAUAUCGUAUCAGCUAGUUGGUAAGGUAAUGGCUUACCAAGGCUAUGACGCGUAACUGGUCUGAGAGGAUGAUCAGUCACACUGGAACUGAGACACGGUCCAGACUCCUACGGGAGGCAGCAGUAGGGAAUAUUGCUCAAUGGGGGAAACCCUGAAGCAGCAACGCCGCGUGGAGGAUGACACUUUUCGGAGCGUAAACUCCUUUUCUUGGGAAAGAAUUAUGACGGUACCCAAGGAAUAAGCACCGGCUAACUCCGUG